CUGACUAGAGAGAGAUAUAGCACAUAAACUCACAGUGACCUGCCCACUCCUCCAUCUCCAAAUUAUGGAGGCGAUGACGGUCAAGAAACGAGACAAACGUCCAAGUUGGAGAGGAAGGGAAACCCGGUUCCCGCUCCCCCCAAGGAUCGCCUGCAGAGCCACAUGCUGAUCCGAUGCUAUGCUGUGUCACAGGUCAAAGUUCACAAGGUUGGAGAGGGAGUGGGAGGGGGUCGGUCGCUGUGUCCUCACAUCCGUCUUGAUUCAUUCGAGGUCUGGAAGUAGUCAGUGGCCAGACCUCCUUUUCCUUCUGCAAACUGUCUGUCCGUUCCUGACAAACAGCCAGAUCAGACGAGAGCUUAAAGCCGUGUCGGCGCUGAGUGGCCUGACGUGAUCCACCAGGGGAGACACUCGUUGUCUCCCUGCAACAAACAACACCUUCUUUCUCCAAGAUAUUAUUGCUGCAGUGACAAAAAAAUAAAAAAUAAAAGAAAGAUUGAA